rnacentral:rRNA from 1 species
CGCACAGUAAACGAUGACAACUGGCUGUCGGCGAUAUACAGAUCGGUAGCGAAGCGAAAGCGUUAAGUUGUCCACCUGGGGAGUACGACCGCAAGGUUGAAACUCAAAGGAAUUGACGGGGGCCCGCACAAGCGGAGGAACAUGUGGUUUAAUUCGAUGAUACGCGAGGAACCUUACCCGGGCUCGAACGGUGCAGGAAUACAGGAGAGAUUCUGUAGCAUAGCAAUAUGUCUGUAUCGAGGUGC